GGAAAAAAUAACUCAAAAAACAUAAAUGAAACGACAAAACAAUAAAAAAAAUCAAACAAACAAAUCAUAAACCUAAGGAAAGAUGAAAAAAGAAAGAACGAAAGGGCCUAAAGCUCCUGUUCGUCUUCCCAAAAAUCAUCUAUACCUUCCUUACAUCAGAUCAAAGAGGUAAUCAUUCCCAACUCUUGACAAAAAUGGCAUCAACACAAUUAAAACAAACCCCUAUGUUAAUCACUAAGCUCAUCAGAUUUUAAAGAACCCACAUCACCUCCGGUCACAGUCUUCAACUCCCAAAUCAUUCAUUUUCAACAUCAUCCAAAUCCCGAUUGACAAGCUCUUCCACAACUUCCGAGGCCUCUUCCAUCCAGUAUAUAGGUUGGGCCUAACUCUAACCUUCCUUUGCCAAAGCAUGUGCUGGAACAUUGGCCAACUGAGGACCAUCCUCGUGAAUGCACAAUCCCAAACUAGAUGCGCCACUGAUUCCUUCUCAACUUUGCACAUCGGACAGAGAUCAUCCACCACUAGUCGUUUCUUUCUCAAAUUAUGUAGCGUAGGCAUAAAUUCAUUAGUUAUUUUCCACAUACCAAUACGGAUUUUACUUGGAAGUUUUAAAUUCCACAUUUUUGUAUGGAAGGUUUUUAAUAUUGUAGAUUGCGUUGUAAUAUUCCCCUCUAUCGAAUCUAAACCCUCUGUAAUGAGCCACUUAUAGCCAAUUUUUUACUGUAUAAACUCAAGUAUUGUCACCCCACUAUACCAAUUCAUCCAGUUGGUUGCUAUUAAUCGAAGGAAUCGACAAAAUCCUCUUCACUUGCUCAUCAUCAAACAAGACUUUGAUGACUUCUUUUUUUUUUCCAGGACCUAGCAACCAUGCGUCAUUCCAGAUAUUUAUUGAGGUGUCAUUCCUUACUUUCCAGCCCGUACUACGUUCCAACAAUACUCGGGCAUUCCAGAUACUCUGCCAAGUGUACGAAAGAUUAAAAUCUCGUAGAUACUCGUGAAAAAGGAAAAAUAGCGGAAUAAUCCCUGAACCUCUGAAUGACUACAAUUCAGUCCAGGUGGAUUUUGUUCCAGAUCUUACAGAACACAUACAUAGGACAACUGCAAGAGUACUGCUCCACAUUAAUGGUUAAGAUUAUUAAAUAUCUCUUUUGAUGGAUAACCACGAUUGGUUUCUCUUGUGGAAGCCAAAAAACAACCAAAAGAGUGCAUAUGAACAAAAGCUAAAAUCUCUUCUGACGGAUCAUAGACUUUCAUGGAAAAGACAAACCAUAAUCUUACUUCUAUGAAUCAUAGUGGAUACGACUUCGGGUACUUGUUUAAGCUUUUGACUUGUAGGAGUUUGCCUGAUAGUCAAGCUGGGUUUUUCGAUUUGAUCAAGAUAUAUUUCCCCAUGGUAUACGAUAUCAAGCACAAGAUGAAGUUUUGCAACAACCUUCAUGGUGGUUUGAACAAGCUUACCAAGUUGUUGGAAGUGGAAAGAGUCGAUGUGUGCCAUCAAGCUGGUUCCGAUAGUUUGCUCACCUCGUGCACCUUUAGGAAGUUGAGAGAUAACUUUUUCAACGGCUCCACAAAGAAAUAUGCAGGUGUAUUGUAUGGCCUAGGUGUCCAGAAUGGAUAGAAUACUAAUUAGAAGAAAAUUAUUGGAAAAAAAUGUUGAUGGAUGACUACUUAGAGUUUUUGCCUGAAUUUUCUUUGUAUACAUUGUCAAAAAAAAAAAGAGAGAAGAUAUUGUUGAUUUAGCUGUGACUUUUCUCUUUUUUCUUGCAUUGUAACUGAAACCUUAACUGGUUUUUCCAGUUGAAGUCCAGUGUAAAUUAUGCAGUUAGUGUUUCUAUCUUUUUCAAUAAUAAUCAUAAUCAUUUGCAUCUUA